rnacentral:rRNA from 1 species
CCUACGGGCGGCUGCAGUGGGGAAUAUUGCACAAUGGGCGCAAGCCUGAUGCAGCCAUGCCGCGUGUGUGAAGAAGGCCUUCGGGUUGUAAAGCACUUUCAGCGGGGAGGAAGGCGUUAAGGUUAAUAACCUUGUCGAUUGACGUUACCCGCCGAAGAAGCACCGGCUAACUCCGUGCCAGCAGCCGCGGUAAUACGGAGGGUGCAAGCGUUAAUCGGAAUUACUGGGCGUAAAGCGCACGCAGGCGGUCUGUCAAGUCGGAUGGGAAAUCCCCGGGCUCAACCUGGGAACUGCAUUCGAAACUGGCAGGCUAGAGUCUUGGAGAGGGGGGUAGAAUUCCAGGUGGAGCGGUGAAAUGCGUAGAGAUCUGGAGGAAUACCGGUGGCGAAGGCGGCCCCCUGGACAAAGACUGACGCUCAGGUGCGAAAGCGUGGGGAGCAAACAGGAUUAGAUACCCUAGUAGUC